AGUGAACGCUGGCGGUAGGCCUAACACAUGCAAGUCGAACGGCAGCACAGUAAGAGCUUGCUCUUACGGGUGGCGAGUGGCGGACGGGUGAGGAAUACAUCGGAAUCUACUUUUUCGUGGGGGAUAACGUAGGGAAACUUACGCUAAUACCGCAUACGACCUACGGGUGAAAGCAGGGGAUCUUCGGACCUUGCGCGAUUGAAUGAGCCGAUGUCGGAUUAGCUAGUUGGCGGGGUAAAGGCCCACCAAGGCGACGAUCCGUAGCUGGUCUGAGAGGAUGAUCCGCCACACUGGAACUGAGACACGGUCCAGACUCCUACGGGAGGCAGCAGUGGAGAAUAUUGGACAAUGGGCGCAAGCCUGAUCCAGCCAUACCGCGUGGGUGAAGAAGGCCUUCUGGUUGUAAAGCCCUUUUGUUGGGAAAGAAAAGCAGCAGGUUAAUACCCCGCUGUUCUGACGGUACCCAAAGAACAAGCACCGGCUAACUUCGUG
rnacentral:rRNA from 1 species